UACGAAGGGGGCUAGCGUUGUUCGGAAUUACUGGGCGUAAAGCGCACGUAGGCGGAUCGAUCAGUCAGGGGUGAAAUCCCAGAGCUCAACUCUGGAACUGCCUUUGAUACUGUCGAUCUGGAGUAUGGAAGAGGUGAGUGGAAUUCCGAGUGUAGAGGUGAAAUUCGUAGAUAUUCGGAGGAACACCAGUGGCGAAGGCGGCUCACUGGUCCAUUACUGACGCUGAGGUGCGAAAGCGUGGGGAGCAAACAGG
rnacentral:rRNA from 1 species